rnacentral:rRNA from 1 species
UACGUAGGCAGCGAGCGUUGUUCGGAUUUACUGGGCGUAAAGGGUGUGUAGGCGGUUGCUUAAGUUUGGUGUGAAAUCUCCCGGCUCAACCGGGAGGGUGCGCCGAAUACUGAGUGACUAGAGUGCGGGAGAGGAAAGUGGAAUUCCUGGUGUAGCGGUGAAAUGCGUAGAUAUCAGGAGGAACACCGGUGGUGUAGACGGCUUUCUGGACCGUAACUGACGCUGAGACACGAAAGCGUGGGUAGCAAACAGG